rnacentral:rRNA from 1 species
AGUGAACGCUGGCGGUAGGCCUAACACAUGCAAGUCGAACGGCAGCACAGUAAGAGCUUGCUCUUACGGGUGGCGAGUGGCGGACGGGUGAGGAAUACAUCGGAAUCUACUUUUUCGUGGGGGAUAACGUAGGGAAACUUACGCUAAUACAGCAUACGACCUACGGGUGAAAGCAGGGGAUCUUCGGACCUUGCGCGAUUGAAUGAGCCGAUGUCGGAUUAGCUAGUUGGCGGGCUAAAGGCCCACCAAGGCGACGAUCCGUAGCUGGUCUGAGAGGAUGAUCGGCCACACGGGAACUGAGACACGGUCCAGACUCCUACGGGAGGCAGCAGUGGGGAAUAUUGGACAAUGGGCGCAAGCCUGAUCCAGCCAUACCGCGUGGGUGAAGAAGGCCUUCGGGUUGUAAAGCCCUUUUGUUGGGAAAGAAAAGCAGCAGGUUAAUACCCCGCUGUUCUGACGGUACCCAAAGAAUAAGCACCGGCUAACUUCGUG